AUUUCUGGAAUCUACAAAAUCCUUAGGCUGAGCAGACUUUUGUGACACAUGACUUAUGAAGCGCAAUGCAAUACACAGAACAGGAGCAACUUACCUCUGAUAGACCUGACAUGACAGGCAAGCUCUGAAGCUUUACAGAUAUUGGGAUUCAUCACAGCUGAAAAAGGACAUGCAAAUCUGAAGAUGUAAUGCAUCUAGAAAGGAAGCACACUCCUCUACAAAGAGAGAAGUUUGAGCAGAAGUUUGAGCAGCCAACUGCCAGUUCCAUUUUUCUAGGACCCUCCCUAGCAAGGCAAUGUGGAGAUAAGG